rnacentral:rRNA from 1 species
CUUGCUUCUCUUGAGAGCGGCGGACGGGUGAGUAAUGCCUAGGAAUCUGCCUGGUAGUGGGGGAUAACGUUCGGAAACGGACGCUAAUACCGCAUACGUCCUACGGGAGAAAGCAGGGGACCUUCGGGCCUUGCGCUAUCAGAUGAGCCUAGGUCGGAUUAGCUAGUUGGUGGGGUAAUGGCUCACCAAGGCUACGAUCCGUAACUGGUCUGAGAGGAUGAUCAGUCACACUGGAACUGAGACACGGUCCAGACUCCUACGGGAGGCAGCAGUGGGGAAUAUUGGACAAUGGGCGAAAGCCUGAUCCAGCCAUGCCGCGUGUGUGAAGAAGGUCUUCGGAUUGUAAAGCACUUUAAGUUGGGAGGAAGGGUUGUAGAUUAAUACUCUGCAAUUUUGACGUUACCGACAGAAUAAGCACCGGCUAACUCUGUGCCAGCAGCCGCGGUAAUACAGAGGGUGCAAGCGUUAAUCGGAAUUACUGGGCGUAAAGCGCGCGUAGGUGGUUUGUUAAGUUGGAUGUGAAAUCCCCGGGCUCAACCUGGGAACUGCAUUCAAAACUGACUGACUAGAGUAUGGUAGAGGGUGGUGGAAUUUCCUGUGUAGCGGUGAAAUGCGUAGAUAUAG